rnacentral:rRNA from 1 species
CAGCCGCCACGGUAAUACGUAGGUGGCAAGCGUUGUCCGGAAUUAUUGGGCGUAAAGGGCUCGCAGGCGGUUUCUUAAGUCUGAUGUGAAAGCCCCCGGCUCAACCGGGGAGGGUCAUUGGAAACUGGGAAACUUGAGUGCAGAAGAGGAGAGUGGAAUUCCACGUGUAGCGGUGAGAUGCGUAGAGAUGUGGAGGAACACCAGUGGCGAAGGCGACUCUCUGGUCUGUAACUGACGCUGAGGAGCGAAAGCGUGGGGAGCGAACAGGAUUAGAUACCCGUGUAGUCCCUGUCUCUUAUAC